rnacentral:rRNA from 1 species
UACGGAGGGGGCGAGCGUUAUUCGGAUUUACUGGGCGUAAAGGGCGCGUAGGCGGCCACCGCAAGUCGACUGUGAAAUCUCCGGGCUUAACCCGGAAAGGUCAGCCGAUACUGCGGGGCUAGAGUGCAGAAGGGGCAACUGGAAUUCUCGGUGUAGCGGUGAAAUGCGUAGAUGUCUGGAGGAACACCGGUGGCGAAGGCGGCAUCCUGGACCGGUAUGACGCUGAGGCGCGAAAGCGUGGGGAGCAAACAGG